CCUACGGGAGGCAGCAGUGGGGAAUCUUGCGCAAUGGGCGAAAGCCUGACGCAGCGACGCCGCGUGGAGGAUGAAGGCCCUUCGGGUUGUAAACUCCUGUCAGAGGAGAAGAAUCUCCGAGCAAUCGGAGUUGACGGUAUCCUCAGAGGAAGCCCCGGCUAACUACGUGCCAGCAGCCGCGGUAAUACGUAGGGGGCAAACGUUACUCGGAAUUACUGGGCGUAAAGGGUGUGUAGGUGGCUGAGCAAGUCAAUGAUGAAAUCCCAAGGCUCAACCUUGGAAUUGCUGUUGAAACUGCUCAGCUUGAGGAUAGUAGAGGAGAACGGAAUUCCCGGUGUAGCGGUGAAAUG
rnacentral:rRNA from 1 species